AAGGGUAUAGCUCAGUGGUAGAGCGCAUGCUUAGCAUGCACAGGGUCCUGGGUUCCAUCCCCAGUACCUCCA
rnacentral:tRNA from 1 species